rnacentral:rRNA from 1 species
GAAGGUGGCAAGCGUUGUUCGGAUUUACUGGGCGUACAGGGAGCGUAGGCGGUUCGGUAAGCCCUCUGUGAAAUCUCCAGGCUUAACCUGGAACAGUCGGAGGGGACUGCUGGGCUAGAGGACGGGAGAGGAGCGCGGAAUUCCCGGUGUAGCGGUGAAAUGCGUAGAGAUCGGGAGGAAGGCCGGUGGCGAAGGCGGCGCUCUGGAACGUUUCUGACGCUGAGGCUCGAAAGCGUGGGGAGCAAACAGGAUUAGAUACCCUGGUAGUCCACGCCUUAAACUAUGAAUACUAAGUGUCGGCGGUUUACCGCCGGUGCCGCAGCUAACGCAUUAAGUAUUCCGCCUGGGAAGUACGGCCGCAAGGUUG